rnacentral:rRNA from 1 species
GAUCACCUCCUUAGAGUUUGAUCCUGGCUCAGGACGAACGCUGGCGGCGUGCUUAACACAUGCAAGUCGAACGAUGAACCACUUCGGUGGGGAUUAGUGGCGAACGGGUGAGUAACACGUGGGCAAUCUGCCCUUCACUCUGGGACAAGCCCUGGAAACGGGGUCUAAUACCGGAUACUGACCCUUGCAGGCAUCUGCGAGGUUCGAAAGCUCCGGCGGUGAAGGAUGAGCCCGCGGCCUAUCAGCUUGUUGGUGAGGUAAUGGCUCACCAAGGCGACGACGGGUAGCCGGCCUGAGAGGGCGACCGGCCACACUGGGACUGAGACACGGCCCAGACUCCUACGGGAGGCAGCAGUGGGGAAUAUUGCACAAUGGGCGAAAGCCUGAUGCAGCGACGCCGCGUGAGGGAUGACGGCCUUCGGGUUGUAAACCUCUUCAGCAGGAAGAAGCAAA